rnacentral:rRNA from 1 species
UACGGAGGGUGCAAGCGUUAUCCGGAUUCACUGGGUUUAAAGGGUGCGUAGGUGGGCAGGUAAGUCAGUGGUGAAAUCUCCGAGCUUAACUCGGAAACUGCCGUUGAUACUAUUUGUCUUGAAUAUUGUGGAGGUAAGCGGAAUAUGUCAUGUAGCGGUGAAAUGCUUAGAUAUGACAUAGAACACCAAUUGCGAAGGCAGCUUACUACACAACGAUUGACGCUGAGGCACGAAAGCGUGGGAUCAAACAGG